ensembl:lncRNA
UGCAGAGGAAGCAGCACGAACACGCACACACCGUACAAAGGAAUCUCUUCAUACUACUAACGUUACCUAUAUGGCUUAUGAAGAAUAGUCACCGUAUUAUGUGUACUUUAAUAAUUUAUCUUGUAAACUGAAAUAUAUACUUACAAGUGCACUGAAAAUAUGUCAUUAGUUUCCAACUUUGAUACUUGCGCGUGUAGCUACAGUGUGGUCAAAGUUACUAUGGCAACAACUGAACCGCGCCACUGCAUUCUCACCCAAUACCUGCGCACAGCUGUUCUCCACACAGGGCGUCUCAAAUGCAUUCCUGCCGUUUUCAUAUAUACAGCAGUUUACCUGCACACGCCCUUCCUGGCGUGGCUUAUUUAACUCAUAUACGUCGUUUAUUGUUGCCUGGUUCCUUUCAGCUGAAAAGCAACAGAAGACUGGAUUUAUGUUACAAUGAUUUCAACCGACAGAAAUAGAUCAAACAACAUUUGCCGCAGAUCCUUGUCUCUGAUGUUUUCGCACCGAUUAUGCGUGUGUGUGUGUGUGUGUGUGUGUGUGUGUGUGUGUGAGAGAGAGUGAGUGUGUGCACACUGCUCUCCUUGAUUGGGGUCUUGGCACCGGUUUCAAAGACCUUAUCAGAUGAAGCUGAACGGACAGUCAUGCAUGCUGCAAGCUGAGCAAAUGUCAAUAAUUUCCCAGAGUUAGAGUUCCAGAGGAAAACUCCGAUCCCAGCUGUUGUAUGUAGAUCAACAGUGAUGUUCAGUAUAUUACAGGAGUUAUUCAGUGAUCAAGUGUUUCCCUGUACUGCGGGGAAAUAAUAUACGCUGGGAGAGAGAAACGUGUGUGGAAGAACCAGAGAGCGAGAGAGUCCAACAGAAGAUCUAGACACCGAGUAAAACACACAAACAACAGCUGCAAAACAGCUGACGGUUACCCAUGCAUUGAAGACGCGCACACACACACACACACACACACACACACACACACACACACACACACACACACACACACAUACACACACUACAGGCUCAUGUCCUCCUGCAAGCAGGGGCGUGUUGUACUCAUACAUAUACGGCUCAAACACACCUGCCACAACAGAGCACAGCUGUCAGGUCCAUCACCCUGAACCGUACGUGUAACCUCACACACACAAAAACACACACAAGCAGACCCACUUUUUCACGUAUAUGAGGAAACACACAGUAACUGGUUGAUUGUGCUCGGACACCUGGGCACACAUUCUCUCACACAAACCAAACACACACUAAGCUACAAGGCCUUUUUUUGAGUGUAACGUUUGUGCUAACACAAAGACUGAAUUGAUGUUGAUAUAAACAAUACUGCUAUGAAUAAAAUGAUUUACACAGAUUAAAUGAAUGGUAUGGCCUACUGUAUGUUUUAUUAAUAACACACAGAAGGAACGGUGCUCAAGGGGAAUGCUAAUAGGAUUCUCUCCUUCACACACACACAUCAAAUGUCAGAUUGAUGCCACACUGUAACUAAACCUCAGCUCCUCCCACUCUGCCGCGUGCAUUCACUUGCUAAAAGGUGCCCGAGG